UGAUUUCUGAAGUAAGGAAGGCUAAAC
rnacentral:piRNA from 1 species